rnacentral:lncRNA from 1 species
AGCCACCUACCAGGGUCUGAGGUGCGGUGAGGAGGAGGUCAUGGGGUUUAAGAAAGCAAGGAUUUAGAGCCAGAAAAUAGAAACUUAAGGUAACUUAACAUUUCAAGUUAUUAUUUUAUUUUAUCCUAUGGGAAACGUUAGGCGCUGUCCUAAUAUUAGCAAGCUGAGGGAUUUGCAAAGCCCUUGGGAUAUAUUCUUGGGGAAUGGUAUGGAGUGCUGCACACAGCAGCAGAACCUGGGAGCCAGCCACUGCACCCCUCAGGAGGAGACUGGCCACAUCUAUUAUGGGGCCUUCGUGCAAUGGGAUGUAGUGCGGUUGUUAAAAAAGGAGGAAGGAAAAAAAAAACGGGAGGAAGGAACAGUUUAAUAGGUGAAAAAAGCCAGGCGUGGGGAGGACCGUAUGAAUCCAUUUAUGUCAGUUUUUAAUUUUAUUUAUUUUAUUUUUAUUUUUAUUUUUUUAUGUCAGUUUUUUAAAAAGCCUAUGCAUAAAAAAAAAAAAAAAAAAAAAAAAAAAAAGCCUAUGCAUUGAUAUCCCAGGAGAGACCUUGUUUUUCUGGAAACUGAUGAGGGUUACCUUAUGGAAACCUCACAUCAGCUCCCUGGGUCUCACUUUCCCCAUCUGGACGGGGACCUUAUAAUGUCAUACCCUGGGAUGCGAGGGUAGCUCCUGUGGAUCUGGGAUCACCCUCUGCGAAGGAUCCUGUGGAUCACCCUCUGAGAAGCCAGCCUUGUGCCAGCCCCAGACCCUCAUGGGAACAGUAGCAGUUUGUUCAAGCCCCGUCAUUUUGCACAAGUCGUGCUGCCCGGGGACGCCCGAGGACGGACAGCCAGGACACCUCCUCAUGGCCACCACCCCUAUGAGAUCACACUGCCGGAGCCACCCAGGGCCUUGGCACCCGAUCGCAGUCUUCCUUCUCCCAAACGCCUGCAUGUCCCGGGGGGACGUCGGCAUCCUCGUGAGUGAUACAAUCCUCACCCACCCCUUGUGUGCGUCCCACGGCUUUUCAGAGCCAACGGCCAUCACUGCUGCUCCAUGCUGCACUCCGACCCUCACUUUUAUCCCAAAUGUUAAGGAUUCCCCGAGCCGGCUG